CCUACGGGAGACAGCAGUGGGGAAUAUUGGGCAAUGGGCGAAAGACUGAACCAGCAAUGCCGCGUGAAUGAAGAAGGUCUUAAGAUUGUAAAAUUCUGUCCUAUGGGAAACAAAAAAUGACGGUCCCAUCGGAAGAAGCCCAGGCAAACUACGUGCCAGCAGCCGUGGUAAUACGUAGGGGGCGGGAGUUGUGCGGAAUUAAUGGGCGUAAAGAUUGCGUAGGCGGCACUACAAGUCUCAUGUGAAAUACCCGGGCUUAACUUGGGGGUUGCAUGGGAAACUGUAGGGCUUGAGUACAGGAGAGGCAAGCGGAAUGCCGAGUGUAGCGGUGAAAUGCAUAGAUAUUAGGAGGAACACCAGUGGCGAAGGCGGCAUGCUGGACUGAAACUGACGCUGAGGCUCGAAAGCGUGGGGAGCAAACAGGAUUAGAUACCCGGGUAGUC
rnacentral:rRNA from 1 species